AUACGGAGGGUCCAAGCGUUAUCCGGAUUCAUUGGGUUUAAAGGGUCCGCAGGCGGGGAAAUAAGUCAGUGGUGAAAGCCUACAGCUCAACUGUAGAACUGCCAUUGAUACUGUUUUUCUUGAGUAUAGAUGAAGUGGGCGGAAUAUAUCAUGUAGCGGUGAAAUGCAUGGAUAUGAUAUAGAACACCGAUUGCGAAGGCAGCUCACUAAACUAUUACUGACGCUCAGGGACGAAAGCGUGGGGAGCGAACAGGAUUAGAAACCCCAGUAGUCC
rnacentral:rRNA from 1 species